GACAGAGGGUGCAAACGUUGUUCGGAAUUACUGGGCGUAAAGCGCGUGUAGGCGGCUCGGCAAGUCGGGUGUGAAAGCCCUGGGCUUAACCUAGGAAGUGCACUCGAAACUGCCAAGCUUGAGUUCUGGAGAGGAAGGCGGAAUUCUCGGCGUAGAGGUGAAAUUCGUAGAUAUCGAGAGGAACACCGGUGGCGAAGGCGGC
rnacentral:rRNA from 1 species